AAUGGAGGCAACUCUGAUCCAGCCAUGCCGCGUGCAGGAAGACGGCCUAUGGGUUGUAAACUGCUUUUAUACAGGAAGAACGUUAGUACGUGUACUAGCCUGACGGUACUGUGAGAAUAGGCACCGGCUAACUCCGUGCCGGCAGCCGCGGUAAUACGGAGGGUGCAAGCGUUAUCCGGAAUCACUGGGUUUAAAGGGUGCGUAGGCGGCGCUAUAAGUCAGAGGUGAAAGGCCACAGCUUAACUGUGGGACUGCUUUGAUACUGUAGUGCUUGAAUUAGGCUGAGGUCGGCGGAAUGUGACAUGUAGCGGUGAAAUGCUUAGAUAUGUCAUAGAACACCAAUUGCGAAGGCAGCUGACUAGACCUUAAUUGACGCUCAUGGACGAAAGCCAGGGGAGCGAAAGGGAUU
rnacentral:rRNA from 1 species